CAUUCACGGAGAGUUUGAUCCUGGCUCAGGACGAACGCUGGCGGCGUGCUUAACACAUGCAAGUCGAACGAUGAACCACUUCGGUGGGGAUUAGUGGCGAACGGGUGAGUAACACGUGGGCAAUCUGCCCUGCACUCUGGGACAAGCCCUGGAAACGGGGUCUAAUACCGGAUACUGAUCCUCGCAGGCAUCUGCGAGGUUCGAAAGCUCCGGCGGUGCAGGAUGAGCCCGCGGCCUAUCAGCUAGUUGGUGAGGUAACGGCUCACCAAGGCGACGACGGGUAGCCGGCCUGAGAGGGCGACCGGCCACACUGGGACUGAGACACGGCCCAGACUCCUACGGGAGGCAGCAGUGGGGAAUAUUGCACAAUGGGCGAAAGCCUGAUGCAGCGACGCCGCGUGAGGGAUGACGGCCUUCGGGUUGUAAACCUC
rnacentral:rRNA from 1 species